rnacentral:rRNA from 1 species
GAGUUUGAUCCUGGCUCAGAUUGAACGCUGGCGGCAGGCCUAACACAUGCAAGUCGGGCGGUAGAGAGAAGCUUGCUUCUCUUGAGAGCGGCGGACGGGUGAGUAAUGCCUAGGAAUCUGCCUGGUAGUGGGGGAUAACGCUCGGAAACGGACGCUAAUACCGCAUACGUCCUACGGGAGAAAGCAGGGGACCUUCGGGCCUUGCGCUAUCAGAUGAGCCUAGGUCGGAUUAGCUAGUUGGUGAGGUAAUGGCUCACCAAGGCGACGAUCCGUAACUGGUCUGAGAGGAUGAUCAGUCACACUGGAACUGAGACACGGUCCAGACUCCUACGGGAGGCAGCAGUGGGGAAUAUUGGACAAUGGGCGAAAGCCUGAUCCAGCCAUGCCGCGUGUGUGAAGAAGGUCUUCGGAUUGUAAAGCACUUUAAGUUGGGAGGAAGGGCAGUAAAUUAAUACUUUGCUGUUUUGACGUUACCGACAGAAUAAGCACCGGCUAACUCUGUGCCAGCCGCCG